rnacentral:misc_RNA from 1 species
GAAAUGCGAUACGUAAUGCGAAUUGCAGAACGCGAGUCAUCAAAUCUUUGAACGCACCUGGCACUUCCUCGAGAGGGGGAGUAUGCUUGUUUCAGUGUCGCCUAACCCUCCCCCGCGCGCCGGUUUUGCCGGCGCGUCGGCGGGGUCGAUGAGCCUCCGGAUGCAAACCGCACCCGCAGGCUUCAAGUUGACUCUCCUCGUGCCCCCGGCGACGUCCCGCGUCCGCUGUGGCAUGGUGUGGCAGUAUCGCGCCCGUCCGCGGGCGAGAUUACACCAACGCCCCCAAGCCGCAAACAGCAGCGAGCCGCGCGCGCCGCCACCAACAGCCCGAGAGGCGGCCUCCGCGGCCGCCGCCACCCCCCAAACCCACUCAUUUAUCGACCUGAAAUCAAGCAAGAGG